AAGCUCGUAGUUGAAUUUCGAAUGUGGCUGGGCGGUCCGCCUCACGGUGUGUACUGUCUGGCUGUGUUCUCUUUCUUGGUGAGCCGGCAUGCCCUUUACUGGGUGUGUUGGGGAACCAGGACGUUUACCUUGAGAAAAUUAGAGUGUUCAAAGCAGGCCUACGCCCGAAUACAUUAGCAUGGCAUAAUAAAAUAGGACGUGCGGUUCUAAUUUGUUGGUUUCUAGAGCCGCAGUAAUGAUUAAUAGGGAUAGUUGGG
rnacentral:rRNA from 1 species